rnacentral:rRNA from 1 species
GUCCACGCCCUAAACGAUGAUAACUCUAUGUUGGCGAUAUACAGUCAGCGUCCAAGCGAAAGCGUUAAGUUAUCCACCUGGGGAGUACGCCCGCAAGGGUGAAACUCAAAGGAAUUGACGGGGCCCGCACAAGCGGAGGAGCAUGUGGUUUAAUUCGAUGAUACGCGAGGAACCUUACCCGGGCUUGAAAGUUAGUGAAUCAUUUUAGAGAUAGAUGAGUCCGCAAGGACACGAAACUAGGUGCUGCAUGGCUGUCGU